rnacentral:rRNA from 1 species
UACGUAGGGUGCAAGCGUUGUCCGGAAUUAUUGGGCGUAAAGAGCUCGUAGGCGGUCUGUCGCGUCGGUCGUGAAAACCUGCAGCUUAACUGUGGGCGUGCGGUCGAUACGGGCAUCACUGGAGUUCGGCAGGGGAGACUGGAAUUCCUGGUGUAGCGGUGAAAUGCGCAGAUAUCAGGAGGAACACCGGUGGCGAAGGCGGGUCUCUGGGCCGAUACUGACACUGAGGAGCGAAAGCGUGGGUAGCAAACAGG